CCUACGGGCGGCAGCAGUGGGGAAUAUUGGGCAAUGGGCGCAAGCCUGACCCAGCAAUGCCGCGUGAAGGAAGAAGGCCCUCGGGUUGUAAACUUCUUUUAUCAGGGACGAAGGAUGUGACGGUACCUGAUGAAUAAGCAACGGCUAACUACGGGCCAGCAGCCGCGGGAAUACGUAGGGAGCAAGCGUUAUCCGGAUUUACUGGGUGUAAAGGGCGCGUAGGCGGGCUGGCAAGUCAGAUGUGAAAUCCAGGGGCUCAACCCCUGAACUGCCUUUGAAACUGUCGUUCUUGAGUACUGGAGCGGUUGCCGGAAUUCCUCGUGUAGCGGUGAACUGCGUAGAUAUUAGGAGGAACACCAGUGGCGCAGGCGGUCCACUGGACCGCAACUGACGCUGAGGCGCGACAGCGUGGGGAGCACACAGGAUUAGAUACCCCUGUAGUC
rnacentral:rRNA from 1 species